GUGUUACUUCUUCGAUUAGCAUACCCCGAACUCCAAAAUUAAUCAAGAGACAGAUGGAAGAUGACAUGCAUUGAUAUGGGCCAGUUGAGCAAAUGAACUUCUUCAAUAGCCAAAAUGGAGGCAGAUGUUAGGACAAAGUUGGCACAAACUCUUAAUGAGAUAAGGUACAUUUUGGGUUUUUUCUCUUUAAUUUUUCCAAAUCUUAAUCUGCACUGACAA
rnacentral:lncRNA from 1 species